GGAACUGGAGAACAGAGAGGCUGAGCUCAGCCGCCGGGACACUUUCUACAAGGAGCAACAGGGGCGCAUCCAGGAGAAGAAUGCCGAGAUAUAUAAACUGUCUUCCCAGCAAUUCCAUGAGGCGGCUUCAAAAGCGGAGAGCACAAUAAAGCCCCGCAGAGUAGAGCCUGUAUGUUCCAGCCUACAGGCCCAGAUCCUCCGCUGCUACCGUGACCAUCUGCAUGAGGUACUUCUGUGUUCGGACCUGGUCAAGGCAUACCAGCACUGUGUGAGCACUGCCCGCAAGGGCUGAGGAGCAGCAUCCUUCCUGGAGCCUUGAAGAAGGGACCCAUCAUAGGACCACAGACCCCAGGCCAUGGCCCCUGUACCCUGCAGCUCCCAGCUGGGUACCCAUAUGCCUCUGAGCAUGGGGCCACCAUGCUUGAGAAACAGUAUGUGCUACUGACCGAAAACAAAUAAAGCAGAUGUCUUUGUUUGCAGUCAUUCA